rnacentral:rRNA from 1 species
GACGAACCGUGCGAACGUUGUUCGGAUUCACUGGGCUUAAAGGGCGCGUAGGCGGGCUCACCAGUCAGGGGUGAAAGCUCCCGGCUCAACCGGGAAAGUGCCUUUGAUACUGUGAGUCUCGAGGGAGGUAGGGGCACGCGGAACUUCCGGUGGAGCGGUGAAAUGCGUAGAUAUCGGAAGGAACGCCGGUGGCGAAAGCGGCGUGCUGGACCUCUCCUGACGCUGAGGCGCGAAGGCCAGGGGAGCAAACGGG